rnacentral:rRNA from 1 species
GAUGAACGCUGGCGGCGUGCUUAACACAUGCAAGUCGAACGAUGAAGCUCAGCUUGCUGGGUGGAUUAGUGGCGAACGGGUGAGUAACACGUGAGUAACCUGCCCUUAACUCUGGGAUAAGCCUGGGAAACUAGGUCUAAUACCGGAUAGGAGCGUCCACCGCAUGGUGGGUGUUGGAAAGAUUUAUCGGUUUUGGAUGGACUCGCGGCCUAUCAGCUUGUUGGUGAGGUAAUGGCUCACCAAGGCGACGACGGGUAGCCGGCCUGAGAGGGUGACCGGCCACACUGGGACUGAGACACGGCCCAGACUCCUACGGGGGGCAGCAGUGGGGAAUAUUGCACAAUGGGCGAAAGCCUGAUGCAGCGACGCCGCGUGAGGGAUGACGGCCUUCGGGUUGUAAACCUCGUUCAGUAGGGAAGAAGCGAAAGUGACGGUACCUGCAGAAGAAGCACCGGCUAACUACGUGC